GGGCGCGUAGCUCAGUGGGAGAGCACUACGUUGACAUCGUAGGGGUCACUGGUUCAAUCCCAGUCGUGCCCACCA
rnacentral:tRNA from 1 species